rnacentral:rRNA from 1 species
AUGUCAGCGCUUGAGAUUAUUCAGUUUGUUAUGGCUGUAGAUUGCUAUCCAAAUGUCUUCGUUGCCAAUCGGAUCCUCUUAACAGUGCCUGUGACUGUAGCCUCGGCUGAAAGAAGUUUCUCUAAACUAAAACUACUGAAAAAUUAUUUAAGGUCAACUAUGUUGCAAGAUAGAUUGGAUGGCCUGGCUAUGUGCUGCAUUGAGAAGGACAUCUUGGAAAAUGUUGAUCUUGAUUGUGCCUUUAAUGACUUUGCAUCAAUAAAUGCCAGAAGAAACUUUUUUUGA